CUGGCAGCACCUCCUGGGUCCUCAGCUGGAUUUCGGGACAAAAGGAGAAAAGGAAAACAAGAUGUUUUGGAUGGAGGGAUCACUGCUGGGCAGAGCUGCUCUCCAGAACAUCUUCAGCAGAGACAUCGCCUCCUCUAGGAUCUGCCUCAGAGUCUUGGUGUUGGACAGCAGACUCUUCACACAUCCAUAGUCCAGGAUCUGCAUGCAGAGCUCAGUUAGCAGUGGUGGGCUGAGGCAGGCCUGCAGGGUUGCCUCCAUGCGCUGGACGAGGCUACGGCCCUCUAGGACUUGCUGCUGAAGAGCACUGAAGUCAUCCACGUGACCGAUGGCGUGACGGCCGUUACGGUUUGCAAAUGAUCCGUCAGGGGCCUCCCCCUCCAACUCAGAGUGAGGGUCAAGAGGGUCAGCUGGGGAUAAAAGAGCUAAAAUGUAUUUUGGAAGGACUCUGAGUGACAUUACUGUAUUUUUUGUAUUGCAAGAGAGAAUUUUCGGAAUUGAUUAAAACAAUAUUUUGGCACAUUUGUUGUUACAGACCAAUGCAAUCUCAUUACAGUCCACAAUAAAGACAGGCAUGCAGUGCAGUUUAAGUCACACCAUUGGCUGUACUAUGGCUGUCGUCCAUGUCUGAGUAGGGAGGACCGGGAGAUCCACAGUUAAAGAGACCAAUGUCCCUGACUGGCGGGGAUGGAGCUGGGUCUGUGGAGCACACAGAUACCAAACCAGGCUUGGACACACAGCAAACCACACCACAGCACACUAAGCCUCUCAGACAUUUUGUGUAGUAAUAUGUUGGUGUUACAUCUUGAGGCCUCUGUCUCAC